UGUCUUCGGUAACGUCGUCCAGCGCCAUGUGUCGUGUGUCCUCCUGUAUUAUGCUGGUGGUCCUGGCCGUUGUGGCGGCCGUGGCGGCGACGUCCAGUACUGGGUACGUCCCCAAGCCUGUCGUCCCCAUCCUCAAGGACGACCGGAAGCAGAACGCCUACGGAGAGUACGCCUUCCAGUACGAGUCCGGAGAUGGCAGCAGCAGGAAGGAGGCGGGCACCCAGAACGACGGCCAGGUGUCCCAGGGCGGCUGGAGGUACACGUCCCCGUAUGGUGAACCUGUGGAGAUUACCUUCGUGGCUGACCACGGCGGCUACCAGCCCCACGGCGACACCAUACCUGUGCCCGUCCCUCUCCCUUAUGAACGCACCGGAAACUAACUGGCAGGGUCUUGUGACUCUACCUGUUGGUUCAAGCGUCCGUUCGCCCCACCUGUUGACUCCAGCAACCGUCCGCCCCCACCUGUUGACUCCACUGUCCGUCUGGCAUGACCUGAAGACUCGAGAGUCUCCCACCUUUCCUGAGCCACCUGGCGUCUUUACCAUCUCACUCUUUAUAAUUACAUCAUCUCCACACAUGCUCAUUAUGUCCAUUAUUAUUCAUCACUCAUUAUAGUUUUCCACAUCCUGGGAGACAAUAUAACAGUCCUUAUCAUCAGUAUGACAUUUUGUCAUGUUCAUAACUUACCACUAUUCAUGCAUGUUAUUGUUCUUGUCCUUGUUUAUGUGUGUGUGUUUGUUUGUGAACAUGUGUGACUCUGAACCUUCUUUAAGUUCAUCUGUAAAUGACAAAAUAAUCCAUCACGGAUCUUCCUGUCCAUAAAUUUGUAUUAUUAAAGUUUUUUCUUGUACAAGCUUUAAAUAAUAAUUUUAAAUUUAUUAGUGAACCUCUUUCAAUUAUAUAAUUUAAGUGUGCUGACGCUUACUGUGUUGAGCCAGUAACUGGUGUCGCCGCUGUCGUAAUAAACACAUGUGAAUUGC
rnacentral:misc_RNA from 1 species